AAUAAACUGAUGACGGAGAAAAGUAGUUUCGCCCCAAAUGGAAAGAGAGGGAAUGUCGCGGCUGAAAGCAUUCCUCCAUAAUGACGAAAUGAAAGACACUCCUGAAGUGAUUCCUGAACGAUCGUUGCCGGUUUCAUGGGCGGUUUAGUAAGGGCAAUACGUAGGCAGGCGUUAACUGUUUAAGUGGAAGAAUAAUAGGUAUUAUUCUUCAAUUAGGGUGGCACCGCGAGAUCAAGCUCUCGUCCCUUGU
rnacentral:ncRNA from 1 species